UACAGAGGUGGCAAGCGUUGUUCGGAAUUACUGGGCGUAAAGGGCGCGUAGGCGGCCUUCUAAGUCAGACGUGAAAUCCCCCGGCUUAACCUGGGAACUGCGUCUGAUACUGGGAGGCUAGAGUAUGGGAGAGGGAUGUAGAAUUCCAGGUGUAGCGGUGAAAUGCGUAGAUAUCUGGAGGAAUACCGGUGGCGAAGGCGGCAUCCUGGACCAUUACUGACGCUGAGGCGCGAAAGCUAGGGGGAGCAAACGGGG
rnacentral:rRNA from 1 species